rnacentral:tRNA from 1 species
GGGGUCAUGGCAGAGUGGCAGAGCAUCUGCUCAGCAUGCAGAAGGUCCCAGGUUCAAUCUCUGGCAUCUCCA